AGGGAAUAGGGCGCGGGGUGUGCCGCCUGCUUUGGGAGCAGGACUUGGCGGGUUCGACACCCGCAUUCCCUACCA
rnacentral:tRNA from 1 species